UACGGAGGUGGCGAGCGUUGCUCGGAUUUACUGGGUGUAAAGGGCAUUUAGGCGGUUCUAUAAGCCUUACCUUAAAUCCUCCCGCUCAACGGGAGAUUGUGGUAGGGGACUGCAGAACUUGAGGGUGGAAGAGGUGAGCGGAACUCCCGGUGUAAGGGUGAAAUCUGUAGAGAUCGGGAAGAACACCAGUGGCGAAGGCGGCUCACUAGGCCACUCCUGACGCUGAAACGCGAAAGCUAGGGGAGCAAACAGG
rnacentral:rRNA from 1 species